rnacentral:rRNA from 1 species
AGAGUUUGAUCCUGGCUCAGAAUGAAAGCUGGCGGCAGGCCCUAUACAUGCAAGUCGCGCGAUUAAAGCCCCUUCGGGGGUAUAUAAAGCGGCGAACGGGUGAGUAACAGGUGGAUAAUUUGCCUUCUGGUGGGGGACAACGGCUGGAAACGGCCGCUAAUACCGCAUUCGGUUGCGGGGUCUUAGGGCCCUGCAAAGAAAGGCGCCUUCAAGCGCUGCCGGAAGAUAAGUCCGCCUCCCAUUAGCUAGUUGGCGGGAUAAUAGCCCACCAAGGCGACGAUGGGUAGCCGAGCUGAGAGGUUGAUCGGCCACACUGGAACUGAGACACGGUCCAGACACCUACGGGUGGCAGCAGUAGGGAGUAUUGGGCAAUGGGCGCAAGCCUGACCCAGCCAUGCCGCGUGGGGGAUGAAGGCCUUCGGGUCGUAAACCCCUUUUCUGAGAGAAGAACAUCCCGGUUAGGAAAUGAUCCGGGCUUGACGGUAUCUCAGGAAUAAGCAACGGCCAACUCCGUGCCAGCAGCCGCGGUAAUACGGAGGUUGCAAGCGUUGUUCAGAAUUACUGGGCGUAAAGGGAGCGCAGGCGGUCAGGUAAGUCUGGAGUGAAAUCCCGAGGCUCAACCUCGGACGUGCUUUGGAUACUGCCUGGCUUGAGUGUGUGAGAGGAGAGCGGAAUUCCAGGAGUAGCGGUGAAAUGCGUAGAUAUCUGGAGGAACACCCGUGGCGAAAGCGGCUCUCUGGCACAACACUGACGCUGAGGCUCGAAAGCGUGGGGAGCGAACGGGAUUUAGAUACCCCGGUAGUCCACGCUGUAAACGUUGUGCACUAGGUGUGGGAGGUUUCGACCCCUUCCGUGCCGCAGCUAACGCAUUAAGUGCACCGCCUGGGGAGUACGGUCGCAAGACUGAUACUCAAUUGAAUUGACGG